UCCAGACUCCUACGGGAGGCAGCAGUGAAGAAUGUUGGUCAAUGGGCGGGAGCCUGAACCAGCCAAGUCGCGUGAGGGAAGACGGUCCUAUGGAUUGUAAACCCCUUUUGUCGGGGAGCAAAGAGAUCACGUGUGGUCAAAAGCGAGAGUACCCGAAGAAAAAGCAUCGGCUAACUACGUGCCAGCAGCCGCGGUAAUACGUAGGGGGCGAGCGUUAUCCGGAAUUACUGGGUGUAAAGGGAGCGUAGACGGCGAGGUAAGCCUGAAGUGGAAGCCCGCGGCCCAACCGCGGAACUGCUUUGGGAACUGUUUUGCUGGAGUAUGGGAGGGGUAAGCGGAAUUCCUGGUGUAGCGGUGAAAUGCGUAGAUAUCAGGAGGAACACCGGUGGCGAAGGCGGCUUACUGGACCAUAACUGACGUUGAGGCUCGAAAGCGUGGGGAGCGAACAGGAUUAGAUACCCGGGUA
rnacentral:rRNA from 1 species